UCGUGGAGUGAUUUGUCUGCUUAAUUGCGAUAACGAACGAGACCUUAACCUGCUAAAUAGCCAGGCUAGCUUUGGCUGGUCGCCGGCUUCUUAGAGGGACUAUCGGCUCAAGCCGAUGGAAGUGCGCGGCAAUAACA
rnacentral:rRNA from 1 species